CUGCAUCCCCUAAUGCACCCAGGGAGUCCAAAUCUGCUUUGAUACGUACAUUAUUCUCAAGAAAUCCUUGACCACCAACAUACGACGAUGAACUGUAUAUCUGAUAAAAGAGCAAAAUUCUUUAAUCACACGAGCAUCUGCUAAUGUAGUGUUGAAUGCUGAUAUUACUUGCAAGUAGAAAGUGCCGUUUUUUUAGAUUUAUAAUUGGUAUUCUUUCGCAAAGAGUGUAUCUUAUGAACAACUGCCUAAUGACUAGAGAGUUCAUAAUAUAUGGGAUCUGAAGAAUUACUCUGAUUGAUGCCGGCACAAUAUAACAAAUUCCUGCAGUAUCAAUAUACAAUGACAAAGGAAACCUAGAAUCAAUUAAAACCCGUAAAUCUUAAGAUUUCCUUUUCCAUUUGUGGCUUAUUUAUCAUCCCCAAAUCAAUCUUAAUUACCUAGUUGUAAGACUACUUAGUAAUUGAUUGGCACUUAUCAGAAUGUUAACGUAGCACAUUCGCAAAAUUUUCUGAUUAUAAAUGGACUAGAAUAAAACCUUGAUUAAUCAAUAAGCAACGAUAAAUUAUCAUUUGAACUACAGAUUUCAGCGACUAAUCAUAAUAAAUUAAUAAAAUUCAGCAGUCCCAGGCAUUAUUUUAAUAUGUAGUUAUCUAUUUCCUAAAAUAAUGAAUAAAUAUUUUUUAAUAGUCGGUCAAAAAUUAGUCAAUUUGACUUUUCGACAAACAAUGAUAUCUCCAAAAAGCAAGAGAGGACAUGUAAAUUGGGACCGAGGGAGUACCGAUUUGACUUGACCAAACAGCUUGGAAUCAGAGAGCAACUCCUUCAUUUUCGCAGUCCUGGGAUGAUGAUACCACAUACUCCCAUCCAUGAACUGCACACCGUUGGAUCGACAAGCUUCUAAUAUCCGAUCAAGCUGAGUUGCAUCAAGGGCUGUGGGUUUCUCCAGCAACAAAUGCUUCUUCUUUUCAGCAUGUUGGGAUUUUAAUCUCAAACUUGUCAUUUUUAUUUUAAGUUAAUAUUCUGUUUUCUGCAGUAUCUCCAGCUGGAGUAUUAGUGUGAUUUGCUCAGCUGGCUUCUAGCGUUAAUAUAGGAUCGUAUAGAAUAAAACAGUAGUGUUGGAGUCUGUUUAGGAAACUAGAUAAAUCAGGUCCUAGUUUUAUGGCAUUUCUGUCGAAAGUUUUUACAUAUUUGUAUCUUGCAUUGGCACCAGAAUAAAGUAGUUGACAUUGGCAAACAAGUCUGUGUGAUUUUGAUUCUUUCAGUUUAUCAAAAGGCUUUUGUUUUUAUAUAUAAGCUACACUUGGUAUCAGAGCAGGAAGAUUCUAGUGUAUGUCAAAGCAGUCGACGAUGGAGAUGAACAAGCUGAAGAGUAGUGGAUCGAUUGGAUUGAGCUAUCCAAUGUUAGCCAAAGAAAACUACACAGCUUGGUCGAUGAAGAUGAAGGUAUUCAUGCAAGCCCAGGGGGUCUGGUGCGCUGUCGAGCAAACGGAUCCAAAGGCGGCUGUUGAAGAGAAGACUGAUAAGGUUGCCCUGGCUAUGAUUUACCAGGGUAUACCCGAAGAAGUGCUGUUGUCUCUAGCUGAGAAGAAAACGGCGAAAGAGGCCUGGGAAGCGAUCAAAACAUUAUACCAGGGAGCAGAUCGUGUGAAGAAAGCAAGAAUUCAAACCUUGAAGUCAGAGUUCGAGUCAUUGAGUAUGAAAGAAAGUGAUCAACUUGACGAUUUUCACAUGAAACUGAAUGCUCUUGUCACAAACAUAAGAGCCCUGGGGGAAAAAAUGGAGGAGUCAUACGUGGUAAAGAAACUACUUCGGGCUGUCCCUCAAAGGUUCUUACAGAUCACGUCAACAAUGGAGCAGUUCGGAAAUUUAGAGACCAUGUCGAUCGAAGAGGCUAUUGGUUCUCUGAAGGCACAUGAUGAGAGAAUAAGGGGGAAAAUAGAACCAAAGGAAAGCCAGUUGAUGCUAACGGAGGAAGAGUGGAGUAAAAGAGAUAGAGAAGAUAAAAAACUCCUUCUUACCCGGGAAGAAUGGUUAAAGCGGACAAACAAAGGAAGCCAGGAGGGAUCAUCAGGCUACAAGAAUCGAGGAAGUCGUGACAAAAGUAAAAUAAAGUGCUACAACUGCCACAUCUACGGUCACUUCGCAGCAGAGUGUCGAAAACCAAAUCGAGCCAAAGAUCAAUAUCAAGAAGUAAAUAUGGCUGUAGCAGAAGACAACGAACCUGCAUUGUUGUUGGCAAAACAUGAGAAAAAAGAAUCAAAUCCUGUGCAACUUGAUGAAAACAGGGUGACGCUUUCGUUAUUGACAAAAAAUGAAACAAAGGUUAGUGAAACAAAAUUAUGGUAUCUCGACAAUGGAGCAAGCAAUCACAUGACUGGUUUUAGAUCCAAAUUCACUGAGCUGGAUGAGAAAAUAACGGGACAGGUGCGUUUUGGUGAUGGAUCAUCAGUGAAAAUUGAAGGAAAAGGGACGGUUAUGUUUGUAUGUAAAAAUGGAGAGGAGUUUGCUCUGCAUGAAGUGUAUUACAUACCAAGCCUCCAAACAAAUAUUGUCAGUAUUGGACAGCUAUCAGAGGAGGGCAAUAGAGUCGUGAUCAAAGGAGAAUACCUGUGGGUAUUUGAUCAACAAGAAAGACUUCUUAUGAAGGUCGAAAGAUCUCAAAACAGGCUUUACAAGUUGAUGAUUGAAACUGGAAGCAAGAAGUGUUUAAUGAGCAAACAAGAUGAAGUAUCAAGACUGUGGCACUUGCGGCUCGGACAUGUCAAUUAUCAGGCCUUGAAUCUUAUGUCUAAGCACCGGAUGGUGAAUGGAAUGCCAAGAAUAGCCCAGCCUAAGACUGUGUGUGUUGGUUGUCUCAUGUCUAAGCAAACCAGGAAACAAUUUCCUACCAAAGCUAACUACACAGCAAAGAUGGUGCUGGAUUUAAUUCAUGGUGAUUUGUGCGGGCCAAUUUCUCCCCCAACAGCAGGAGGUAACAAAUACUUCUUUUUACUCGUUGAUGAUUACAGUCGAAAGAUGUGGGUCUAUUUUCUAAAAAACAAGGAUGAAGCUCUUAACGCCUUCAAGAAAUUUCUGGCUUUGGUUGAAACUGGGUCUGAGAGGAAGGUGAAAGUGUUUAGAACUGACAGAGGAGGGGAGUUCAGCUCGAAUGAAUUCAAAAACUUUUGUGAAGAGGUUGGAAUAAAGAGGCACUACACAGCCCCGUACACACCUCAACAGAACGGUGUGGUUGAGCGUAGAAAUCGUACGGUAGUUGAAAUGGGAAGAAGUUGUUUGAAAGAAAUGAACAUGCCAUCGAUAAUGUGGGGAGAAGCAAUCAGACACUCGGUGUAUCUCUUGAACCGACUGCCUACCCGUGCAUUAUCCGGGAAAACCCCAUAUGAGGUGUGGACUGGGAACAAACCUCACGUUGGCCACAUAAGAGUUUUUGGUUGUUUAAGUCAUAUGAAAAUUCCUAGCUGUCAGACAUCAAAGCUAGACGAUCGUAGCAGACAAGUAAUCAACCUGGGAAAGGAACCAGGCACAAAAGCAUAUCGACUCCUGGACCCUACGGAAAAUAAAAUACUUGUUAGUAGAGAUGUCACUUUUGAAGAGGAAAAGGCAUGGCCCUGGAAUCAGUCUAAAGGUGAAGCUAAUGAACAGACGCCACAGUUUGCAGUUCUGGAGAGCCAAGAGAGUGAUGGUGAAAAUCAGACGAGCACCGAAGGAACAUAUGCAACUGAUAAUGAUAUGUCACAGAACCUUGCUACACCAGAAGCACGGUCACAAGGGUUGAGGCUAAGUUCUGAGAAUUAUGACGACAGUACAGAACCCAGACAUACCAGAAAAUUGACAGACAUCUACAAUGACACAGAAGAAGUCGAGUUGGAUGAGGAGUUGUAUCUCAUGGGUGUCGAGGAACCUGCAAGCUUCAGACAGGCUGUGGAAGAUCGAGAGUGGAGAAAGGCUAUGGAGAAAGAAAUUGAGUCGAUUGAGAAAAAUAACACGUGGGAGUUGUCUACUCUGCCAACCGGACAAAAGGUCAUAGGUUUGAAAUGGAUUUUUAAGCUGAAGAAGGAUGCAGACGGAAGAAUUGUGAAACAUAAAGCGAGACUUGUCGCUAAAGGGUAUGUUCAAGAGCAUGGGGUAGAUUUUGAAGAGAUUUUCGCUCCUGUUACUCGGCUAGAAACUGUUCGUUUAUUAUUGGCUCUGUCAGCUAAAAACAACUGGGAAGUCCAUCACUUGGACGUGAAAACAGCGUUUCUCAACGGGGAAUUAAAAGAGGAUGUAUAUGUUGCUCAACCAGAAGGUUUCGAGAAGGUGGGAAAGGAACAUCUAGUUUACAAACUGAUAAAGGCCUUAUACGGAUUGCGUCAAGCCCCUCGAGCCUGGUAUGCAAAACUGAAUUCAUGUUUAGAAAAUCUUGGGUUUACCAAGUGUCCAUAUGAACAUGCGGUGUACACGAGAAAGGAAGGAGGUGAGACCUUGAUCAUAGCUGUCUACGUAGAUGAUUUGUUGGUCACAGGCUCUGACAAAGAUUUGAUCGAAAUGUUUAAAGAACAAAUGAGUAGUAAUUUUGAGAUGAGCAAUCUUGGCAGGUUGAGUUACUAUCUGGGGAUUGAGGUGAAACAAUCAGAAGGAUAUAUAGAACUGAAACAAACUGGGUAUGCUCGGAAAAUUCUCGAGAAAGCUGGAAUGAAUGAUUGUAACCCUGCAAAAUACCCGAUGGAUCCAAAGGAGCUGUUAACCAAGGACGAAGGGGGGACAGCAGUAGACGCUACUCAGUAUAAAAGCUUAGUCGGAGGGCUGCGUUAUUUGGUCCACACACGACCGGAUAUAGCCUACUCGGUAGGAGUUGUGAGCCGUUUCAUGGAACGACCAACAAAGUUACAUGUGAAUGCUGUGAAACGAAUUCUGAGGUAUGUCAAGGGUACUUUACAGUUUGGUUUGACAUAUUCCAAGCAAGGAGGAAAUAAUGUUUUGCUCGGUUACUCAGAUAGUGACUUGGGAGGAAAUCUGGAUGAUAGAAAAAGCACAGGUGGAGUAGUAUUCUAUUUGAAUGAAAGUCUCAUUACAUGGGUCUCGCAGAAGCAGCGCUGUGUAGCAUUAUCAUCUUGUGAAGCGGAGUUCAUGGCUGCCACAUCCGCUGCUUGUCAAGGAAUUUGGUUACGAAAUGUUUUAGCUCAGAUAACUGGAGAAAGCAUUGGUCCAGUAACAUUGUGCAUUGACAACCGAUCAGCCAUUGAUCUAGCAAAGAAUCCUGUGUUUCACGGAAGAAGUAAGCAUAUUGAUAUACGGUUCCAUUUUAUUCGAGAAUGCGUGGAACGAGGAGAGGUCAUUCUGAAGCAUGUUCCUAGUCAUGAACAAAGGGCAGAUGUAUUGACAAAGGCUCUGACGACAAUCAAAUUUGAGAAGCUGCGGAGUUUGCUAGGUGUUGAGAAUCUCACAAGACAAGUUUGAGCUUAAGGGGGAAUCUGUUGGGAUUUUAAUCUCAAACUUGUCAUUUUUAUUUUAAGUUAAUAUUCUGUUUUCUGCAGUAUCUCCAGCUGGAGUAUUAGUGUGAUUUGCUCAGCUGGCUUCUAGCGUUAAUAUAGGAUCGUAUAGAAUAAAACAGUAGUGUUGGAGUCUGUUUAGGAAACUAGAUAAAUCAGGUCCUAGUUUUAUGGCAUUUCUGUCGAAAGUUUUUACAUAUUUGUAUCUUGCAUUGGCACCAGAAUAAAGUAGUUGACAUUGGCAAACAAGUCUGUGUGAUUUUGAUUCUUUCAGUUUAUCAAAAGGCUUUUGUUUUUAUAUAUAAGCUACACUGCAGCCAGAACAGCCCAUUCCAAGUGAAGACUUGUGGGCAGGGGCAUAUAAACAGCGUCCACUAAAGGGUCAUCCAGCAAUUCGCUGUAGCUUCCAUAGAUCACCACUUGUUGGUCUGAGUAGCCAUUUUCGGUGGCAA
rnacentral:lncRNA from 1 species